CUCUCCCUCUCGUGAUGGGUCCACUUUGCAUGGUGAUAUUUUUUCCAAGUGACCUAAAUUCAUCCAAGUUGUGAAAAUCUCCCUUAAGUUUUCUUUGGCUGCUAUCCUCUUGAUUGGGUUGGGCUUUAUUGCGGGUUGAUUUCUCUUAGUUGUCCACCUCUUCAUGGUCCAUGCUCACAUCAUCACCUCCCUCUUUAAAAAGAUUUUUUCUCGAAUCUGGAUACACAAAAAAAAGGGAAAGAUC
rnacentral:lncRNA from 1 species